rnacentral:ncRNA from 1 species
GGGGAAAGAAGACCCUGUUGACCUUGACUCUAGUCUGGCACUGUAAGGAGACAUGAGAGGUGUAGCAUAAGUGG